GUCUUUGAAGACAUCAGAUAAAAAUUGGAACAAUAGAGAAGAUUAUCAUAGCCCUUGUUGCACAAGGAUGCCAUGCUCGAAACGAGAAAUGGUCCAAAUUUUU